ACUGUCAUACCUUAAUUUUGCCCCACUCUUUUUCCAUUUUCAUUUUUUUUCUUUUCUUGCUCAGGCUAAAUUCAUUUGAUACGCCAUAAAAAGUUUCAUCUGGUCCACUUUACAUUUCAUUUUACUUAAUGGUUCAAAGGUUCUCCGUUAUUUGACUAUUGAUUUAUUUUUCUCAUUUCAAUAUUGUUAACCAUGCUCUGGUCAAUGUGGACUUUUACCAUUACUCUUAAC
rnacentral:lncRNA from 1 species